AUGGCUGCUCCAGGGGCAUGUGCACACCCUGAU
rnacentral:rRNA from 1 species